rnacentral:rRNA from 1 species
UACGGAGGGGGCGAGCGUUAUUCGGAAUUAUUGGGCGUAAAGGGCGCGUAGGCGGCCCGGUCAGUCGAAGGUGAAAUCCCCGAGCUCAACUUGGGAACUGCCUUCGAUACUGCCAGGCUUGAGUCCGGGAGGGGAGAGUGGAAUUCCCAGUGUAGCGGUGAAAUGCGUAGAUAUUGGGAGGAACACCGGUGGCGAAGGCGGCUCUCUGGACCGGUUCUGACGCUGAGGCGCGAAAGCGUGGGUAGCAAACAGG